rnacentral:rRNA from 1 species
AGUUGGUAGGGUAAAAGCCUACCAAGGCGACGAUCAGUAGCUGGUUUGAGAGAACGACCAGCCACACUGGAACUGAGACACGGUCCAGACUCCUACGGGAGGCAGCAGUGGGGAAUUUUGGACAAUGGGGGCAACCCUGAUCCAGCAAUGCCGCGUGAGUGAAGAAGGCCUUCGGGUUGUAAAGCUCUUUUGUCAGGGAAGAAACGGUGUUUCCUAAUACGGAAUGCUAAUGACGGUACCUGAAGAAUAAGCACCGGCUAACUACGUGCCAGCAGCCGCGGUAAUACGUAGGGUGCAAGCGUUAAUCGGAAUUACUGGGCGUAAAGCGUGCGCAGGCGGUUUUAUAAGUCUGAUGUGAAAUCCCCGGGCUCAACCUGGGAACUGCAUUGGAGACUGUAAGGCUAGAGUGUGUCAGAGGGGGGUAGAAUUCCACGUGUAGCAGUGAAAUGCGUAGAUAUGUGGAGGAAUACCGAUGGCGAAGGCAGCCCCCUGGGAUAACACUGACGCUCAUGCACGAAAGCGUGGGGAGCAAACAGGAUUAGAUACCCUGGUAGUCCACGCCCUAAACGAUGUCUACUAGUUGUCGGGUCUUAAUUGACUUGGUAACGCAGCUAACGCGUGAAGUAGACCGCCUGGGGAGUACGGUCGCAAGAUUAAAACUCAAAGGAAUUGACGGGGACCCGCACAAGCGGUGGAUGAUGUGGAUUAAUUCGAUGCAACGCGAAAAACCUUACCUACCCUUGACAUGGAAGGAAUCCCGAAGAGAUUUGGGAGUGCUCGAAAGAGAACCUUUACACAGGUGCUGCAUGGCUGUCGUCAGCUCGUGUCGUGAGAUGUUGGGUUAAGUCCCGCAACGAGCGCAACCCUUGUCAUUAGUUGCUACGAAAGGGCACUCUAAUGAGACUGCCGGUGACAAACCGGAGGGAGGUGGGGAUGACGUCAAGUCCUCAUGGCCCUUAUGGGUAGGGCUUCACACGUCAUACAAUGGUACAUACAGAGGGCCGCCAACCCGCGAGGGGGAGCUAAUCCCAGAAAGUGUAUCGUAGUCCGGAUUGUAGUCUGCAACUCGACUACAUGAAGUUGGAAUCGCUAGUAAUCGCGGAUCAGCAUGUCGCGGUGAAUACGUUCCCGGGUCUUGUACACACCGCCCGUCACACCAUGGGAGCGGGUUCUGCCAGAAGUAGUUAGCUUAACCGCAAGGAGGGCGAUUACCACGGCAG